UGAGGAAUAUUGCGCAAUGGGCGAAAGCCUGACGCAGCGACGCCGCGUGAGUGAUGAAGGCCUUCGGGUUGUAAAGCGCUGUGGGGCGAGACGAAUAAGUGCAGACUAAUACGUUGCAUGAGGACGGUAUCGCCUUAGCAAGCACCGGCUCACUCUGUGCCAGCAGCCGCGGUAAGACAGAGGGUGCAAACGUUGUUCGGAAUUACUGGGCGUAAAGCGAGUGUAGGCGGUUUGCUAAGUCGGAUGUGAAAGCCCCGGGCUCAACCCGGGAAGUGCAUUCGAAACUGGCAGGCUAGAGUAUCGGAGAGGUUGGUGGAAUUCUCGGUGUAGAGGUGAAAUUCGUAGAUAUCGAGAGGAACACCGGUGGCGAAGGCGGCCAACUGGACGAAUACUGACGCUGAGACUCGAAAGCGUGGGGAGCAAACAGG
rnacentral:rRNA from 2 species